UGGAUCCAGACUUUGUUCUGGCUCAGGAUGAACGCUAGCUACAGGCUUAACGCAUGCAAGUCGAGGGGCAGCGGGAUUGAAGCUUGCUUCAAUUGCCGGCGACCGGCGCACGGGUGAGUAACGCGUAUCCAAUCCUCCGUACACUCAGGGAUAGCCUUUCGAAAGAAAGAUUAAUACCUGAUAGUAUCUUAAGCACACAUGUAAUUAAGAUUAAAGAUUUAUCGGUGUACGAUGGGGAUGCGUUCCAUUAGGUAGUAGGCGGGGUAACGGCCCACCUAGCCAACGAUGGAUAGGGGUUCUGAGAGGAAGGUCCCCCACAUUGGAACUGAGACACGGUCCAAACUCCUACGGGAGGCAGCAGUGAGGAAUAUUGGUCAAUGGACGAGAGUCUGAACCAGCCAAGUAGCGUGAAGGAUGAAGGUCCUACGGAUUGUAAACUUCUUUUAUAAGGGAAUAAACCCUCCCACGUGUGGGAGCUUGUAUGUACCUUAUGAAUAAGCAUCGGCUAACUCCGUGCCAGCAGCCGCGGUAAUACGGAGGAUGCGAGCGUUAUCCGGAUUUAUUGGGUUUAAAGGGAGCGCAGACGGGUCGUUAAGUCAGCUGUGAAAGUUUGGGGCUCAACCUUAAAAUUGCAGUUGAUACUGGCGUCCUUGAGUGCGGUUGAGGUGUGCGGAAUUCGUGGUGUAGCGGUGAAAUGCUUAGAUAUCACGAAGAACUCCGAUUGCGAAGGCAGCACACUAAUCCGUAACUGACGUUCAUGCUCGAAAGUGUGGGUAUCAAACAGGAUUAGAUACCCUGGUAGUCCACACGGUAAACGAUGGAUACUCGCUGUUGGCGAUAUACUGUCAGCGGCUUAGCGAAAGCGUUAAGUAUCCCACCUGGGGAGUACGCCGGCAACGGUGCAACUCAAAUGAAUUGACGGA
rnacentral:rRNA from 1 species